UACGGGGGGGGCAAGCGUUGUUCGGAAUUACUGGGCGUAAAGGGCGUGUAGGCGGUCAGCACAAGUCAGUUGUGAAAUCUCCGGGCUUAACUCGGAAAGGUCAACUGAUACUGUGCGACUAGAGUGCAGAAGGGGCAACUGGAAUUCUCGGUGUAGCGGUGAAAUGCGUAGAUAUCGAGAGGAACACCUGCGGCGAAGGCGGGUUGCUGGGCUGACACUGACGCUGAUGCGCGAAAGCCAGGGGAGCGAACGGG
rnacentral:rRNA from 1 species